rfam:Ictidomys tridecemlineatus contig055243, whole genome shotgun sequence.
GGGGAUAUAGCUCAGUUGGUAGAGUGCUUGCCUUGCAUGCGCAAGGCCCUGGGUUCAUUCCCCAGCACCACCA